GCUUGACUGUAGCUUGUAAUUGGGUUCGGGCUUUUUUUGCGCAGCCUAGGUGGGAGGCAACGAUGAUUUUUUUCCGGAAAAAUUUGAGCCGUUAGUGAGAGACCACUCUGAAAAGGCUAGAAUCCUAAUAAUGAUCCUUGAAUCAGGACAUUGACAGUUGCAGGUGGGCAGUUUUACUGGGGCGGUAUUCUCCUAAAAAGUAACGGAGGGGUGCAAAGGUUCCCUCAAGCUGGACGGAAAUCAGCUUAAGAGUGUAAAGGCAAAAGGGAGCUUGACUGCAAGACCUACAAGUCGAGCAGGGGCGAAAGCCGGCCUUAGUGAUCCGACGGUACCACGUGGAAGGGCCGUCGCUCAACGGAUAAAAGUUA
rnacentral:rRNA from 1 species